rnacentral:rRNA from 1 species
UUCAACAGGGGUGAAAUCUGUAUACACCGUGAAUUUUUUGAUUAAAGUACCUUUUAGGUGGUCAAAUGACUAGGAUUAGAUACCCUAUUAGUCCACUCUUAAUUAACCUGGGUAGUAGUAUCGAAACCUAAAGAAUUUGGCGGUUUCUAAACCUACUAGAGGAACCUGCCCCAUAAACGACAAUCCACGAAAAAAUUCACCCGGGCUAGUUAUGCAGCUUAUAUACCGUCGUUCAGAGGACUAAAUAAAUAGAUCCUCUUAAAAGCUUAGGCUAAUAAAUCAGAUCAAGGUGUAGCUUAUGCCCGGGAGAGGGUGGGUUACAAUGAAAAUUCAUACGGAACUUCUAUUUUAUGAUAGAAAAGAAGGUGGAUUUAGAAGUAAGAUUUAAUAUACUGAAAAAGGCUCUCAGAAAUGUACAC